AAAAGUGAGGCUAUCAGCACUAAAGCACCGGAUCCUAUCAGAACACCAAAGUUAAACGUGCUCCCAUCAGAACACCGAAGUUAAACAUGCUUGAGAGAGAGUAGUACUAGGAUAGGUGAUCUCCUGGAAAGUCCUCGUGUUGCAUCCC
rnacentral:rRNA from 1 species